rnacentral:rRNA from 1 species
UAAACCCCCCCAAAAUACCAUUAAUUUUCAUGAACCCCUAAUUUAUAAUGAAUGACUCCAUAUUUAUAUGGAAGACACCAUGCUAGGAUUAGUAACAAGAAUUUAUAAUUCUCCAAAAUGCAAAUAUAAACCAACAUGGAUAGACCAUUGGUAGUUACCGAACCUAAAUUUACUGCAAUAACACCCACAAGAAAACUCUGCAGUACUUACUCGUUAACCUAACACCAGCGCAUUACAGGAAAGAUUAAAAAAAAGAGAAGGAAUUCGGCAAAUGACGGCCCCGCCUGUUUACCAAAAACAUCGCCUCUUGACUUAUAAUAAGAGGUCCAGCCUGCCCAGUGAAUUUUAAACGGCCGCGGUAUCCUAACCGCGCGAAGGUAGCAUAAUCACUUGUUCUUUAAAUGGGGACUCGUAUCAACGGCAUCACGAGGGUUUUACUGUCUCCUCUUUUUGAUCAGUGAAAUUGAUCUUCCCGUGAAGAAGCGGGGAUAUUUUUAUAAGACGAGAAGACCCCAUGGAGCUUUAAACCAAAUAACAACUUAACUACUUAUCCCACAAUAAAUUUAAGCCCUGUUAUAAGGUUUUUGGUUGGGGUGACCGCGGAGUAAAGCACAUCCUCCACGACGGAAAGAACAUAAUCUUUAUUUAAGAACCACACUUCUAGAAAUUAGUAUACUAACGUUUACUGACCCGACAAUCGAUCAACGGACCAAGUUACCCUGGGGAUAACAGCGCAAUCUACUUCAAGAGCUCAUAUCGACAAGUAGGCUUACGACCUCGAUGUUGGAUCAGGGUAUCCCGGUGGUGCAGCCGCUACCGAAGGUUCGUUUGUUCAACGAUUAAAACCCUAC